GAUGAACGCUGGCGGCGUGCUUAACACAUGUAAGUCGAACGAUGAAGCCUAGCUUGCUGGGUGGAUUAGCGGCGAACGGGUGAGUAACACGUGAGUAACCUGCCCUUGACUCUGGGAUAAGCCUGGGAAACUGGGUCUAAUACUGGAUAUGACUGCUCCGCGCAUGCGGUGGUGGUGGAAGGCUUUUGCGGUUUUGGAUGGACUCGCGGCCUAUCAGAUUGUUGGUGGGGUAAUGGCCUACCAAGGCGACGACGGGUAGCCGGCCUGAGAGGGUGACCGGCCACACUGGGAGUGAGAGACGGGCCAGACACCGACGGGAGGCAGCAGUGGGGAAUAUUGCACAAUGGGCGCAAGCCUGAUGCAGCGACGCCGCGUGAGGGAUGACGGCCUUCGGGUUGUAAACCUCUUUCAAUAGGGACGAAGCGCAAGUGACGGUACCUAUAGAAGAAGCACCGGCCAACUACGUGCCAGCCGCCGCCGUAACAC
rnacentral:rRNA from 1 species